GUUUUGGUAUUGUAAUUGAUAGAACAAGGUGCUCGGAAAGCAUAAGUACGGGUUCGAGUCCCGUCUGAAGUU
rfam:Haemonchus contortus, ISE/inbred ISE, WGS project CAVP01000000 data, contig: Hcontortus_24989